GCUUUGGUUUCAAAUCCACCCAGUAUUUUAUAAUGCUUCUCAAAAAGGGAAGGGUCUCAUUAAACAGGAGAUCAGUCAGUCUACAUAGUGGGAUUGACUUUGGGAUGUUGGAUUUGGAACAAGGAACAGAGAAGUGCCACAGACACAUGACUGUUCAAUGGAUUGCAUUUUCAGCUGUCAUCCAAAUGUCUCCCAGGCCUGUGAUGGUGACAUCUGGUCAGGAUGAAUGUAGUCAAACCUGCAUGUCUUUUCACUUACACAGUGCACCAGUGAAAGUCAAAGAAAGAAAGAGACACUCUGCCUGUCAUUCCAGAGAAUUUUCCUAACUUAAUUAAUGCUCUCAGACUAAACUGCAAAGAUCUCAGGUCAUCAGAGGUUUGGAAUUUUGUGUUAACCUGAGUUUAGGUGUGGCAUUUGGGGACAGGGUUUAUUGUUGGCUUUGGCAGUGCCAGGUUAGCAAUCAAUCUUACAGGGCUUUCCAACCUAAAUGGUUCUGAGAUUAGUGCAAGGGAAACACCGUCAGGACCUGUCAUUGUUUUAGGGUUUACUCUCUUUUAGAAACUUACCUGCUGAUUUUGUUGUGUUUUUAUAUGCUUAUUUUGGUUUUUUGUGGUACUUUGUGUUGUUGAUCACCUUCCUAAUGGGUAUCCCUGGCCCACCUCUUGCUUCUGGCACUUUUCAUUUUUGUCCCUUGUGAGUUAGGUCUGUAUCCCAGGACUAUGUCUUAGAAGGGCUAGUGCCCAAGGGCCUGCACUGUCCAGGGACUGGCAUUUCCCACAGCUCUUCUCUUCAUGUUUUUUAAAAUCUCUGCUUAUUCCAUAGCUACUAUUAAUUCACUGUCUGGUAUGCUAAAGUCUUCUAAAUGAAUUACAACUUGUUAUGUCCUGAUGAGGGAGGUGUAAAAAUACCUUAGUGAAGAAAGUCCUCAUCGUAGCAGAAAAAAAUCCCCAAAUGAAACCACACAACAAGGAGUGUAGAGCUUGCUUUUUAAUACUUUCAGGAAGCAAACCAACAAAAAUCUCUGUACAAUAGAAUUUAGCAUUAUGUAACAGUUCUUGGGUUCCUUUUCCUUUUAGAAUUCCUCCAAAGUAAAUGAGCUUGAGUUUAGCCCAGCAUCCCUUACUAAAGACUGUGACCAACUGAGUUGCUGGGAACCUGUGGAAUUUGCCCUUGAACAAAAGAGAGUAUCCAGUCAGGCUGAGGGUGCAGUGCAGCUGCUGCAGCAAAUGGAGCAAACAGGAAAGAAAGGAAACACGAAGUCAGAGGGAAGAGGUCUUUCACAGUUCUGGAGAAGCAUCUUUUCACCACUACAACAUCUUUUUGGUGGAAAAAACUGACCUGGAAGUACUAAUUGUUGCGGAAAGGUAGAUUUGUAGUAUGAAUAUUGGGUUGCACUGUUUCUUCUGUAAUUCAGCUUUUCACAUUGCAUGUCUCAGCUAUUAAAUGCUUUAAAUUAAAUUCUACUUUGCUAACUUUUUCAAAGUAACAUUCUGAAGAUGUUGGGUUAGAACAACCUGUUGGGUUUUUGUUCAUAUCUUAGAGGUUUUGGAAUAGAGCAAGAUUAUGACCCUUAAGUGUCAUAAAUUGUCAAUUUUACGUUAUGUGGUAUUCUAAUAAAACUAGAAUCAGCUUGGAA